GUACAGAGUCAAUGUGGAGGCUAUAUACAGGGUAUUAUGGUACAGAGUCAAUGUGGAGGCUAUAUACAGGGUAUUAUGGUACAGAGUCAAUGUGGAGGCUAUAUACAGGGUAUUAUGGUACAGAGUCAAUGUGGAGGCUAUAUACAGGGUAUUAUGGUACAGAGUCAAUGUGGAGGCUAUAUACAGGGUAUUAUGGUACAGAGUCAAUGUGGAGGCUAUAUACAGGGUAUUAUGGUACAGAGUCAAUGUGGAGGCUAUAUACAGGGUAUUAUGGUACAGAGUCAAUGUGGAGGCUAUAU